rnacentral:rRNA from 1 species
CCAGCGGCGGGGUGGAGAUU